GCGAGCUUGGCGGAAUGGUAGACGCACGAGACUUAAAAUCUCGAGUCCGAAUGGGCGUGCGGGUUCGAGUCCCGCAGCUCGCA
rnacentral:tRNA from 1 species